UACAGAGGGUGCAAGCGUUGUUCGGAAUUACUGGGCGUAAAGCGCGUGUAGGCGGCGGUAAAAGUCGAAUGUGAAAGCCCUCAGCUUAACUGAGGAAGUGCAUUCGAUACUAUACUGCUUGAGUACCGGAGGGGAUGGCGGAAUUCCCGGUGUAGAGGUGAAAUUCGUAGAUAUCGGGAGGAACACCAGUGGCGAAGGCGGCUCUCUGGACAGAUACUGACACUGAGGCGCGAAAGCGUGGGAAGCAAACAGG
rnacentral:rRNA from 1 species